AGUGAACGCUGGCGGCAGGCCUAAUACAUGCAAGUCGAACGGCAGCACAGUGUAGCUUGCUCAAUGGGUGGCGAGUUGCGGACGGGUGAUGAAUACAUGGGAAUCUGCCCAGUCGUGGGGGAUAACGUAGGGAAACUUACGCUAAUACCGCAUGCGCCCUUCGGGGGAAAGCCGGGGACCUUCUCGCCUGGCGCGAUUGGAUGAGCCCAUGUUCCAUUAGCUAGUUGGCGGGGUAAAGGCCCACCAAGGCGACGAUCGAUAGCUGGUCUGAGAGGAUGAUCAGCAAAACUGGGACUGGGACACGGCCCAGACUCAUAAGGGAGGUAGCGAUAGGGAAUAUUGGGAAAAGGGCGAAAGCCUGAUCCAGCCAUGCCGCGUGAGUGAAGAAGGCCCUCGGGUUGUAAAGCUCUUUUGUCCGGGAAGAAAAGAAUCGGGCUAAUAACUCGGUGUUCUGAAGGUACCGGAAGAAUAAGCACCGGAUAACUUCGUG
rnacentral:rRNA from 1 species